rnacentral:rRNA from 1 species
CCUACGGGUGGCUGCAGUGGGGAAUAUUGCACAAUGGGGGAAACCCUGAUGCAGCGACGCCGCGUGAGUGAAGAAGUAUUUCGGUAUGUAAAGCUCUAUCAGCAGGGAAGAAAAUGACGCUAUCUGUUUAAGAAGCCCCCGCUAACUACGUGCCAGCAGCCGCGGUAAUCCGCAGGGUGCAAGCGUUAUCCGGAGUUAUUGGGUGUAAAGGGAGCGUAGACGGCAGCACAAGUCUGAAGUGAAAUGCCGGGGCUUAACCCCGGAACUGCAUUGGAAACUGUGCAGCUAGAGUGCAGGAGAGGUAAGUGGAAUUCCUAGUGUAGCGGUGAAAUGCGUAGAUAUUAGGAGGAACACCAGUGGCGAAGGCGGCUUACUGGACGGUAACUGACGUUGAGGCUCGAAAGCGUGGGGAGCAAACAGGAUUAGAUACCCCUGUAGUC